ensembl:rRNA 5S_rRNA 5S ribosomal RNA
GUCUACAGCCAUACCACCCUGAACGUGCCUGAUCUUGUCUGAUCUCCUAAAGCUAAGCAGGGUUGGGCCUGGUUAGUACUUGGUUGGGAGACUGCAUGGGAAUACCGGGUGCUGUAGGCU